AACGCGUAGGAAUCUACCUAGUAGUGGGGGACAACUCGGGGAAACUCGAGCUAAUACCGCAUACGCCCUACGGGGGAAAGCGGGGGACCUUCGGGCCUCGUGCUAUUAGAUGAGCCUGCGUUGGAUUAGCUAGUUGGUGGGGUAAAGGCCUACCAAGGCGACGAUCCAUAGCUGGUCUGAGAGGAUGAUCAGCCACACCGGGACUGAGACACGGCCCGGACUCCUACGGGAGGCAGCAGUGGGGAAUAUUGCGCAAUGGGCGAAAGCCUGACGCAGCCAUGCCGCGUGUGUGAAGAAGGCCUUCGGGUUGUAAAGCACUUUCAAUUGGGAGGAAAGGUUCACGGUUAAUAACCGUGAGCUGUGACGUUACCUUUAGAAGAAGCACCGGCUAACUCCGUGCCAGCAGCCGCGGUAAUACGGAGGGUGCGAGCGUUAAUCGGAAUUACUGGGCGUAAAGCGCGCGUAGGUGGUCUGUUAAGUCGGAUGUGAAAGCCCCGGGCUCAACCUGGGAACUGCAUCCGAUACUGGCAAACUAGAGUGCGGGAGAGGGAGGUAGAAUUCCAUGUGUAGCGGUGAAAUGCGUAGAUAUGUGGAGGAAUACCAGUGGCGAAGGCGGCCUCCUGGCUCGACACUGACACUGAGGCGCGAAAGCGUGGGGAGCAAACAGGAUUAGAUACCCUGGUAGUCCACGCCGUAAACGAUGUCUACUAGCUGUAGGGGUACUUGAGACCUUUGUAGCGCAGCUAACGCAAUAAGUAGACCGCCUGGGGGAGUACGGCCGCAAGGUUAAAACUCAAAUGAAUUGACGGGGGCCCGCACAAGCAGUGGAACCAUGUGGGUUUAAUUCGAUGCAACGCGAAGAACCUUACCAGGCCUUGACAUCCUCGGAACUUUCUAGAAGAUAGAUUGGUGCCUUCGGGAACCGAGUGACAGGUGCUG
rnacentral:rRNA from 1 species